GCUGUUGUAGCUCAGUGGUAGAGCACUCCCUUGGUAAGGGAGAGGUCGAGAGUUCAAUCCUCUCCAACAGCACCA
rnacentral:tRNA from 15 species